AAGAGAUCCCUCUGAGCCUUUCCGCUUUACAACAGACAGUUUUUUCUUCCUCUUUUUUUUUUUUUUCUUUCCCAGGCAUUCUGUACACAUCCAUUUUCAGCAGCUCGUUGGGGGGGGAAACGGUUAAAUCGAGCUCCAUCCGACUUCUGACCUCAAAAAAUGAAUCUCUCCAACUACAUCCUCAAGUCAAAUCCAUCCCAGCGGGAAAUGGCGGGAAUGUGCCCUCCUCCCCACACCCCGGAAGACGGAGCUGCAUCUGUUAACCCUCCUGAUUAUUGCUUCCAUCGGACGACCGGCCCCGAAGCAGCGUCUGCCCAGUCAUGCGGGGCCGUGCCAAUAGAUUCAGCAGACUAUGGUAAUGAGCCUGAAAGGAUUCCCAAGCUCAGUGCUGUCACUUUGAUGACUCCAGAAUUAACACUGCACUAGAAAUUCCUCACACCUGCUGCAAUAACACUCAAGAUAGAGAGGGGGGAAGGCGUCUUUGGUAACAUGGUUACAAGAAAAUUAAUGUAACCCCUCUUGUCAAAUGUAAUUAGAGGCAUAGUGGUGCCGAUAUGGUGCAGUGAAUGUUUUGAAAGGGUGAAGCAGGAAAUUAUUACUGCAGGGAGAAACUCUUUUUUUCUUUUUUUGCCCUGAUAACGGUGCUCUGUUUUGCUGCCGUGGAGGCAUAUGUCAGGAUGUGGGUUUUUGUGCAUAGGUGUGAUACAAUAAUGGGUUAUUUUCUUUUUUUUUUUCUUUUUUUUUAAAUGAGGGCAUUAAUUGUCAAAACAACACACAGAGAAGCACAUCGAGCUUCUCUGUGCACUUUGAACUUUUUCACAGUUUGUCACAUUGAAGCAGCUAACUUCAGUGUGCUCUUUGGGACUUUUCUGUUAUACAUCAGCAGAAAGCAGUGCAUGACUGUGAUGUGGAAGGAAGGCGGCACUUAAUUUUAUUUUUUUUUUUAUUAGAAAUUAAAAUCUAA